rnacentral:rRNA from 1 species
CGAGCGGCGGACGGGUGAGUAAUGCCUAGGAAAUUGCCCUGAUGUGGGGGAUAACCAUUGGAAACGAUGGCUAAUACCGCAUGAUGCCUACGGGCCAAAGAGGGGGACCUUCGGGCCUCUCGCGUCAGGAUAUGCCUAGGUGGGAUUAGCUAGUUGGUGAGGUAAUGGCUCACCAAGGCGACGAUCCCUAGCUGGUCUGAGAGGAUGAUCAGCCACACUGGAACUGAGACACGGUCCAGACUCCUACGGGAGGCAGCAGUGGGGAAUAUUGCACAAUGGGCGCAAGCCUGAUGCAGCCAUGCCGCGUGUGUGAAGAAGGCCUUCGGGUUGUAAAGCACUUUCAGUCGUGAGGAAGGUGGUARUGUUAAUAGCAUUAUUAUUUGACGUUAGCGACAGAAGAAGCACCGGCUAACUCCGUGCCAGCAGCCGCGGUAAUACGGAGGGUGCGAGCGUUAAUCGGAAUUACUGGGCGUAAAGCGCAUGCAGGUGGUUUGUUAAGUCAGAUGUGAAAGCCCGGGGCUCAACCUCGGAAUAGCAUUUGAAACUGGCAGACUAGAGUACUGUAGAGGGGGGUAGAAUUUCAGGUGUAGCGGUGAAAUGCGUAGAGAUCUGAAGGAAUACCGGUGGCGAAGGCGGCCCCCUGGACAGAUACUGACACUCAGAUGCGAAAGCGUGGGGAGCAAACAGGAUUAGAUACCCUGGUAGUCCACGCCGUAAACGAUGUCUACUUGGAGGUUGUGGCCUUGAGCCGUGGCUUUCGGAGCUAACGCGUUAAGUAGACCGCCUGGGGAGUACGGUCGCAAGAUUAAAACUCAAAUGAAUUGACGGGGGCCCGCACAAGCGGUGGAGCAUGUGGUUUAAUUCGAUGCAACGCGAAGAACCUUACCUACUCUUGACAUCCAGAGAACUUUCCAGAGAUGGAUUGGUGCCUUCGGGAACUCUGAGACAGGUGCUGCAUGGCUGUCGUCAGCUCGUGUUGUGAAAUGUUGGGUUAAGUCCCGCAACGAGCGCAACCCUUAUCCUUGUUUGCCAGCGAGUAAUGUCGGGAACUCCAGGGAGACUGCCGGUGAUAAACCGGAGGAAGGUGGGGACGACGUCAAGUCAUCAUGGCCCUUACGAGUAGGGCUACACACGUGCUACAAUGGCGCAUACAGAGGGCAGCAAGCUAGCGAUAGUGAGCGAAUCCCAAAAAGUGCGUCGUAGUCCGGAUUGGAGUCUGCAACUCGACUCCAUGAAGUCGGAAUCGCUAGUAAUCGUGGAUCAGAAUGCCACGGUGAAUACGUUCCCGGGCCUUGUACACACCGCCCGUCACACCAUGGGAGUGGGCUGCAAAAGAAGUAGGUAGUUUAACCUUGGGGAGGACGCUUACCACUUUGUGGUUCAUGACUGGGGUGAAGUCGUAACAAGGUAGCGCUAGGGGAACCUGGCGCUGGAUCACCU